GUCUCGGUGGUGUAGAAGUAGAGCACACGUUCCCGGAUAGGUUGAAACGCGGGCUCGAUUCCCGCCUGAGACC